rnacentral:rRNA from 1 species
GUAGGGUGCGAGCGUUAUCCGGGAAUCAUUGGGCGUAAAGAGCUCGUAGGCGGUUCAGCAAGUCGGCUGUGAAAUUCCGAGGGCUCAACCUCGGAACUGCAGUCGAUACUGCUGUGACUCGAGUCCGGUAGAGGAGAAUGGAAUUCCCGGUGUAGCGGUGAAAUGCGCAGAUAUCGGGAGGAACACCAGUAGCGAAGGCGGUUCUCUGGGCCGGCACUGACGCUGAGGAGCGAAAGCGUGGGUAGCAAACAGGAUUAGAUACCCUGGUAGUCCACGCCGUAAACGUUGGAUACUAGGUGUGGUGUUCCGACCAACGGUCGCCGUGCCGAAGCUAACGCAUUAAGUAUCCCGCCUGGGGAGUACGGCCGCAAGGCUA